rnacentral:rRNA from 1 species
GACGAACGCUGGCGGCGUGCUUAACACAUGCAAGUCGAACGGAAAGGCCCUGCUUUUGUGGGGUGCUCGAGUGGCGAACGGGUGAGUAACACGUGAGUAACCUGCCCUUGAAUUUGGGGUAACUUCAGGAAACUGGGGCUAAUACCGGAUAGGAGCUCAUGCUGCAUGGUGGGGGUUGGAAGGUUUCGGCGGUUGGGGCUGGACUCGCGGCUUAUCAGCUUGUUGGUGGGGUAGCGGCUUACCAAGGCUUUGACGGGUGGCCGGCCUGAGAGGGUGACCGGCCACAUUGGGACUGAGAUACGGCCCAGACUCCUACGGGAGGCAGCAGUGGGGAAUAUUGCACAAUGGGCGGAAGCCUGAUGCAGCAACGCCGCGUGCGGGAUGACGGCCUUCGGGUUGUAAACCGCUUUCGCCUGUGACGAAGCGUGAGUGACGGUAAUGGGUAAAGAAGCACCGGCUAACUACGUG